rnacentral:rRNA from 1 species
GUGAACGUGGGGGCAGCAGCGGCGGGAAGACGAAGGGGGCAAGGGUUGGUCGGAUGUACUGGGGGGACAGGGAGCGGAGGCGGUUGGGUAAGCCCUCCGGGAAAUCGCGGGGCCGAACCCGGAAAGUGCGGAGGGGACUGCUCGGCUAGAGGAUGGGAGAGGAGCGCGGAAUUCCCGGUGUAGCGGUGAAAUGCGUAGAGAUCGGGAGGAAGGCCGGUGGCGAAGGCGGCGCUCUGGAACAUUUCUGACGCUGAGGCUCGAAAGCGUGGGGAGCAAACAGGAUUAGAUACCCUGGUAGUC